GAUGAACGCUGGCGACGUGCCUAAUACAUGCAAGUCGAGCGAACAGACGAGGAGCUUGCUCCUCUGACGUUAGCGGCGGACGGGUGAGUAACACGUGGAUAACCUACCUAUAAGACUGGGAUAACUUCGGGAAACCGGAGCUAAUACCGGAUAAUAUAUUGAACCGCAUGGUUCAAUAGUGAAAGACGGUUUUGCUGUCACUUAUAGAUGGAUCCGCGCCGCAUUAGCUAGUUGGUAAGGUAACGGCUUACCAAGGCGACGAUGCGUAGCCGACCUGAGAGGGUGAUCGGCCACACUGGAACUGAGACACGGUCCAGGCUCCUACGGGAGGCAGCAGUAGGGAAUCUUCCGCAAUGGGCGAAAGCCUGACGGAGCAACGCCGCGUGAGUGAUGAAGGUCUUCGGAUCGUAAAACUCUGUUAUUAGGGAAGAACAAAUGUGUAAGUAACUAUGCACGUCUUGACGGUACCUAAUCAGAAAGCCACGGCUAACUACGUG
rnacentral:rRNA from 1 species